GCACGUUUAGCUCAGUUGGUAGAGCGCAAAGCUCUUAACCUUGUGGUCGUGGGUUCGACCCCAAUGGUGGGCG
rnacentral:tRNA from 1 species